rnacentral:rRNA from 1 species
ACGCACGCUGGCGGCGUGCUUCACCCAUUCAAGUCGAACGGAAAGGCCCUGCUUUUGUGGGGUGCUCGAGUGGCGAACGGGUGAGUAACACGUGAGUAACCUGCCCUUGACUUUGGGAUAACUUCAGGAAACUGGGGCUAAUACCGGAUAGGAGCUCCUGCUGCAUGGUGGGGGUUGGAAAGUUUCGGCGGUUGGGGAUGGACUCGCGGCUUAUCAGCUUGUUGGUGGGGUAGUGGCUUACCAAGGCUUUGACGGGUAGCCGGCCUGAGAGGGUGACCGGCCACAUGGGGACUGAGAUACGGCCCAGACUCCUACGGGAGGCAGCAGUGGGGAAUAUUGCACAAUGGGCGGAAGCCUGAUGCAGCAACGCCGCGUGCGGGAGGACGGCCUUCGGGUUGUAAACCGCUUUCGCCUGUGACGAAGCGUGAGUGACGGUAAUGGGUAAAGAAGCACCGGCUAACUACGU